rnacentral:rRNA from 1 species
CAGCCGCCGCGGUAAUACGAAGGGGGCUAGCGUUGUUCGGAUUUACUGGGCGUAAAGCGCACGUAGGCGGAUCGAUCAGUCAGGGGUGAAAUCCUAGAGCUCAACUCUGGAACUGCCUUUGAUACUGUCGAUCUGGAGUAUGGAAGAGGUGAGUGGAAUUCCGAGUGUAGAGGUGAAAUUCGUAGAUAUUCGGAGGAACACCAGUGGCGAAGGCGGCUCACUGGUCCAUUACUGACGCUGAGGUGCGAAAGCGUGGGGAGCAAACAGGAUUAGAUACCCCGGUAGUCCCUGUCUCUUAUAC